UACGUAGGGUGCGAGCGUUAAUCGGAAUUACUGGGCGUAAAGCGCGUGUAGGCGGUCUGUUAUGUCGGGUGUGAAAGCCCUCAGCUUAACUGAGGAAGUGCGCCCGAAACUGGCAGACUUGAGUGCCGGAGAGGAUAGCGGAACACCCGGUGUAGAGGUGAAAUUCGUAGAUAUCGGGUAGAACACCAGUGGCGAAGGCGGCUAUCUGGACGGACACUGACGCUGAGACGCGAAAGCGUGGGGAGCAACAGGAUUAAGAA
rnacentral:rRNA from 1 species